ACACCGUCAAGCUCUGCUUGGUGUUGGGCGUUUUGUCUCCACCCUCCCGUGGGGACUCGCCUUAAAGCGAUUGGCAGCGGCCCUUUUUGCCAGCUUCUUGCGCAGCACUUUUGCGCUUAGCGAGCCAGCAGCGGGCCUGCAAACCAGCAAGCAUCACCUCUUU
rnacentral:misc_RNA from 1 species